rnacentral:rRNA from 2 species
GCCUAAUACAUGCAAGUCGAACGCUUCUUUCCUCCCGAGUGCUUGCACUCAAUUGGAAAGAGGAGUGGCGGACGGGUGAGUAACACGUGGGUAACCUACCCAUCAGAGGGGGAUAACACUUGGAAACAGGUGCUAAUACCGCAUAACAGUUUAUGCCGCAUGGCAUAAGAGUGAAAGGCGCUUUCGGGUGUCGCUGAUGGAUGGACCCGCGGUGCAUUAGCUAGUUGGUGAGGUAACGGCUCACCAAGGCCACGAUGCAUAGCCGACCUGAGAGGGUGAUCGGCCACACUGGGACUGAGACACGGCCCAGACUCCUACGGGAGGCAGCAGUAGGGAAUCUUCGGCAAUGGACGAAAGUCUGACCGAGCAACGCCGCGUGAGUGAAGAAGGUUUUCGGAUCGUAAAACUCUGUUGUUAGAGAAGAACAAGGACGUUAGUAACUGAACGUCCCCUGACGGUAUCUAACCAGAAAGCCACGGCUAACUACGUGCCAGCAGCCGCGGUAAUACGU